rnacentral:rRNA from 1 species
GUGCCAGCCGCCGCGGUAAUACCAGCACCCCGAGUGGUUGGGACGAUUAUUGGGCCUAAAGCAUCCGUAGCCGGUUCUGCAAGUCCUCCGUUAAAUCCACCUGCUCAACAGAUGGGCUGCGGAGGAUACCGCAGAGCUAGGAGGCGGGAGAGGCAAACGGUACUCAGUGGGUAGGGGUAAAAUCCAUUGAUCCACUGAAGACCACCAGUGGCGAAGGCGGUUUGCCAGAACGCGCUCGACGGUGAGGGAUGAAAGCUGGGGGAGCAAACCGGAUUAGAUACCCCCGUAGUCC